AGGAUGGGAGUACAAAUUGUAUAUAUGGCUUUUGGUAAUAUUUUGCACAAAUUCCAUUAACAUUCAUGCUGGUUUGAAUGGCCUUGAAUUAGGGCAAACAGUUGUGAUUGCAUCAGAUAUUGUGAUACAUAACUUAAUUCAAAUUGAAGCAUCUUCAGAUCGUGAGUAUAAACAAGCUCAUGCUUUCUAUAUUUAUCUUGUGCAACCCUUACUAGCCACUUCCUUGGCUUUACUUUCUUACAACUGUGAAACACUCUUGAUUUUCUUUCUUCCACAAGUGUUAAACUUCCUCUUGUCACUUCCUCAGCUUUCUGGCUAUGUCAAAUGCCCCCGUCACCGUCUUCCAAGGUAACUCUUGAUACUCGUAUCAUACUUGGAUUGCAUGCAUCAAAGUUUUCCUGUCUCUUUUAUCAUUAACUGCU